rfam:Schistosoma margrebowiei strain Zambia genome assembly, scaffold: SMRZ_contig0001293
AUCCAUCUGACGAGUCCCAAAUAGGAUGAGACGCUCAUCCUGGAU